CCCAUAGGCCACUCCGCCGAUAUAAUACGCUGCAUCCGCGAACACUUAGGCCACCCGUGUCCCGGUUGGAGAGUUAGUGAGUAAGGUCACAUAAUUAUCCAAAGGGCCACGAGCGGCACCGUGUGGCCACUCCCGUACCGAGUUACACGGAGGGAGGGGGACAAAGAAUAUGAUACCGAGUCACAUUUCGUGACAGACCACGUAGGCAACACAGGCAAAGCAUGAGGUCCCAAUAACAUUUUUGGGUUCUACAAUGAGGAGAUGCAGUAACGACGGUUGGGUGCGCAAGGCACGGAGCCCGCCUUCACAAGCAAAUGUCAAGCAACUUAUGUGCCGACACGGUCAUUCUACCGUACAUCACCCCAUCGCCCAUAUGCAAGUCUAUAUCACAAGGAUA
rnacentral:misc_RNA from 1 species